UACGAGGGGGGCGAGCGUUGUUCGGAAUUAUUGGGCGUAAAGGGUGCGUAGGCGGCCUGACAAGUCUGAUGUGAAAUCCCUGGGCUCAACCCAGGGCCUGCAUCGGAAACUGUCGGGCUUGAGUAUGGGAGAGGUGAGUGGAAUUCCUGGUGUAGCGGUGAAAUGCGUAGAUAUCAGGAGGAACACCGGUGGCGAAGGCGGCUCACUGGCUCGUAUCUGACGCUCAGGCGCGACAGCGUGGGGAUCAAACAGG
rnacentral:rRNA from 1 species